rnacentral:tRNA from 1 species
GGAAGGGUGGCCGAGUUGGUUAUGGCGCCAGGUUAAGGUCAGCUUAACAUCUGUUUCCUAGUGGGGCAACCCGCGCGAGUUCGAGUCUCGUCCCUUUCA